GACGAACGCUGGCGGCGUGCCUAAUACAUGCAAGUAGGACGCAGUUGCGAACAGGUGAGUAACGCGUAGGUAACUACCUGUUAGAGGGGGAUAACUAUUGGACACGAUAGCUAAUACCGUAUACUGGUAGAUGUACCUUCGUUGUAUUAGCGAGUAGGUAGUGUAAUGGCCUACCUAGGCAACGAUACAUAGCCGACCUGAGAGGGGGAUCGGCCAAACUGGGACGGAGACACGGCCCAGACGCCUACGGGAGGCAGCAGUAGGGAAUCUUCGGCAAUGGGGGGAACCCUGACCGAGCAACGCCGCGUGAGUGAAGAAGGUUUUCGGAUCGUAAAGCUCUGUUGUUAAGGAAGCGGUACUUAACCAGAAAGGGACGGCUAACUACGUGCCAGCCGCCGCGGUAAUAC
rnacentral:rRNA from 1 species